CAACCUACCUAUCAGAGGGGAAUAACCCGGCGAAAGUCGGACUAAUACCGCAUAAAACAGGGGCACCGCAUGGUGAUAUUUGUUAAAGAAAUUCGCUGAUAGAUGGGCAUGCGUUCCAUUAGGUAGUUGGUGAGGUAACGGCUCACCAAGCCGACGAUGGAUAGGGGAACUGAGAGGUUGGUCCCCCACACUGGUACUGAGACACGGACCAGACUCCUACGGGAGGCAGCAGUGAGGAAUAUUGGUCAAUGGGCGGGAGCCUGGACCAGCCAAGUCGCGUGAAGGAAGAAGGAUCUAUGGUUCGUAAACUUCUUUUGCAGGGGAAUAAAGUGCAGGACGUGUCCUGUUUUGUAUGUACCCUGAGAAUAAGGAUCGGCUAACUCCGUGCCAGCAGCCGCGGUAAUACGGAGGAUCCGAGCGUUAUCCGGAUUUAUUGGGUUUAAAGGGUGCGUAGGUGGUUUGAUAAGUCAGCGGUGAAAGUUUGCAGCUUAACUGUAAAAAUGCCGUUGAAACUGUCGGACUUGAGUGUAAAUGAGGUAGGCGGAAUGCGUGGUGUAGCGGUGAAAUGCAUAGAUAUCACGAAGAACUCCGAUUG
rnacentral:rRNA from 1 species